rnacentral:tRNA from 1 species
AGCCGAUUGGUGUAAUGGUAGCACAUCAGAUUCUGACUCUGAAAACAUAGGUUCGAUUCCUGUAUUGGCUG